UAGGUAGGUGGUCUUAUUUGUCUGGGGUGAAAGCCUUGAGCUUAACUCAAGAAGUGCCCCAGAAACGGUGAGACUAGAGUCUUGGAGAGGGUCGUGGAAUUCCCGGUGUAGCGGUGAAAUGCGUAGAGAUCGGGAGGAACACCAGAGGCGAAGGCGGCGACCUGGACAAGUACUGACACUCAACUACGAAAGCGUGGGGAGGCAAAACA
rnacentral:rRNA from 1 species